rnacentral:rRNA from 1 species
CCUACGGGUGGCAGCAGUGGGGAAUAUUGCACAAUGGGGGAAACCCUGAUGCAGCGACGCCGCGUGAGUGAAGAAGUAUCUCGGUACGUAAAGCUCUAUCAGCAGGGAAGAAAAUGACGGUACCUGACUAAGAAGCCCCGGCUAACUACGUGCCAGCAGCCGCGGUAAUACGUAGGGGGCAAGCGUUAUCCGGAUUUACUGGGUGUAAAGGGAGCGUAGACGGCAGCACAAGUCUGGAGUGAAAUCCCGGGGCUUAACCCAUAGCCUGCUUUUGAAACUGUUUUUCUUGAGUGAAGUAGAGGCAAGCGGAAUUCCUAGUGUAGCGGUGAAAUGCGUAGAUAUUAGGAGGAACACCAGUGGCGAAGGCGGCUUGCUGGGCUUUUACUGACGCUGAGGCUCGAAAGCGUGGGGAGCAAACAGGAUUAGAUACCCUAGUAGUC